UGCCAGCAGCCGCGGUAACACGGGGGGCGCAAGCGUUAUUCGGAAUUAUUGGGCGUAAAGGGUGCGUAGGCGGACAGAUGUGUCAGGUGUGAAAGCCCAGAGCUCAACUCUGGAACUGCGCCUGAAACUAUUUGUCUAGAGUAUCGGAGAGGUAAGCGGAAUUCCUAGUGUAGCGGUGAAAUGCGUAGAUAUUAGGAGGAACACCAAAGGCGAAGGCAGCUUACUGGACGAUAACUGACGCUGAGGCACGCAAGCGUGGUGAGCGAAAAGGAUUAGAUA
rnacentral:rRNA from 1 species